UACGUAGGGUGCAAGCGUUGUCCGGAAUUAUUGGGCGUAAAGAGCUCGUAGGCGGCUUGUCACGUCGGGUGUGAAAGACCGGGGCUUAACCCCGGUUCUGCAUUCGAUACGGGCUGGCUAGAGUGUGGUAGGGGAGAUCGGAAUUCCUGGUGUAGCGGUGAAAUGCGCAGAUAUCAGGAGGAACACCGGUGGCGAAGGCGGGUCUCUGGGCCGAUACUGACGCUGAGGAGCGAAAGCGUGGGGAGCGAACAGG
rnacentral:rRNA from 1 species